CCUUUUUUCCUCCCCCUCCUUCAACCCAGCAAGCUCCCAGGGGCGCAUGCGCAGUGACAGCCUCCCAUCUUUCUCCCAGCCAGAACCAGAGCCUCAGCAGCAGCUGAUGAUGAAGAAGAGAGGGAAGGGGGAGACUGGGGGGACCUUUUAUUUAUAUUGUUAAAGGGACAGAGCACUAAUUCCACCUUGAAUUGGUUUGCGGGGAGGGCUUGGCCUGAGGAGACUGAGUUUCUCCCCCACCCUCAGCCUAGCUAGAGGAUCCCAGAGAGAUACAGUGAGAGCAGGAGAGUUUCUUCCCCCGCUUUGGCCGUCAGAGGAGAGAGAAAAGAGACCAAAAGCCUCUUAGCAACACAGCCCCGUCUCCUUCUCCACUACUAUUGCUGCUGCUGCUGCUUUUUGGCCCUGGCUGGAGACACCUCACCACACACACAGAAGGAGCAGCCGCCAGUUCACCAGCUCCCCCCCAUCCCCCUACUCUCCCCUCCUCCCCCUUUAUUACCCUUUGUGUGUGUCUCUCUCUCCACUGCUCCAGGAAAGGAAAUAAAAGUGGGGUGCAGCCAAGUAUCAACCCUUUACCUCUUAAGGAAGCAGUUUCAAAAAAUUCAAUGAAGAGAAGAUGAUUGUUGGGAGCAGAAGAGAUCUGUUCAAGAACCUAAGUGUGAGGAGGAAGGAGCAAAAAUGAAAGUGAAGUUUUGGAUAUUUUUGUGAAUAUCUUGAGGUUUAUCGUAUUAUUCUUUCCCUAUUCCUAUGAUGGCAGCAGACUGUAAAAGAGACUAAGUUUGGGAAUAUUUUAAUGACGUUUCUCCACUGACAGGUAAGGUAUGGAUGCAUACAUGCAAAUUAUUUAGAAAACCAUGAUUUUAUUCUAGUCUUACUGACCAGGGAUUUAAAUAGUGAUUUAAAUCAAAUCCACCCUGAUCAAUAGUAGUGAUGUCUAUUACUGUGUUUUAAAUCGUGUAUCUCUUUGGGUCUGAAAGUCCAGUCAAAGGUACUUUACUAAUAAAGGCUGUUAGUUAAGUCACUGUCCUCCAUAACUCAUGCAUAUGGUUUUGGUGCAGUUAUGCUUCUGGUUUUUAAACCUGGCCCAAAGCAACAGGAAGAAAAUCAUGGCAUUGCCAUGAUUUUUUUUCAAAUCCCAAAUGUGCUGAACUUACGGAUUUAAUGCAAUGAAUUAAUAGAUAUUCUUACAACGUGGCACUUGCAUUGCACAGAUGCUGCAGGGCUCUCUCAUUUUCCCAGCAUUCAGUUCUGUAUAUUUCAUGUCUUCAUUUGCCUAGAGAAUGAGUUCAUGAUUAUAGAAUAUAUUUUUAUAAAUUUCACAAUAUCUUUAAGGUGUACACUGUGACCUAGUUCUGAAUAACUAGUUAAUCCACAGCUUGUUAACUAUAUGGUGUUUGUUAAGCAUUUUGUUUAACAACCCAGCCACAUACCUGGUUGUUCACUGUGACAUAUGAAGCUGGCAUUGUGGGUGUUGAGAGGGAAACAACCGAGAGUUUUAACCUAGAAUUCCAGUUUCAGAUGUCAUGGAAAACAAUUUAGGAGUGUUGUGUUCCAGGAUUUCCCAGCAAACCAGAAUUGAGUGUUUGGUGGCUAACAUGCUAGCUUACUCCUAAGCAUUCACAAACAACCUGUGAAGAUGGGGCCAACUUUUGAACAAUGCAGCAUUCUCAGCCAGAGAGUUCAGAUUUGGAAUGAGAGAUAAAUGGAAUAGAAGGGGAGAAAGAAUUGGCAGGCAAGAUUAGUCAGGCAGUAACUGAGAACCAAACCAUCUUGAAGCAUGAAGGUGACACUGUAGAACAAGGAAGGGGAAGAGAACGAAUUCUGAGACCCAGGAAAGCAGUGCCCGCCCAAAUGGAUGGACCAGUUUUAUAACGUCAUAUGCUCCUACCGUUAAACAGACAUGCAGUGUAAACCAUCCUGAGGGUGGUGUCAAGAUCUCAUGAAAAGGGAGGACAGGGGCAUUUCUGUUUCGAAACAACUCUUCACAUGGGCGAAGCUAGUUUUAUACAUUAGAGGGGUCAUUAUUUUGAUUUAUCUAACUUGUUAACAGUUUUCAUGGAAAAUACUCAAAUGCAGCAGAACUUGUUAAGCUAUAACAAAUGACUGUAUCUUAUAAGCUUUUUGGUUUAAUCUGCCAGAUAAGAAAAAGUGGGAGAAUGUGUUCACAACACAACCUAUGGGCUGUUAAGUGGUAUACAUGUAUAUACAAAACCUAUAAUUUUGUAAAUCCUACAAAACUUUUGGUGAGUAACUGAACUGUUACUAUUUUGUGGUGUUUUAUUUAACCCUUAAAUCCAGUGGCUGAGUUCACACCAGAUGAUAAUGCACAGUCAAGGUUGGAUAUGGGUUACUGUUGAAACGUUGGCUGUUGUUCAGACAUAGGAUAUUAUGUUGUAUGAAUGUAGCCACUGUAAUUAAACAUAGUUUGUUAAACAUGAGCAACCAGUGAAGAGUACCCAUAGUUUAUUACUGGGUUUUAACAAACCAUGCUUUGUUGUUUUGGCCUGGUUCACAAAUAGAGCAAGUGAUGGUUCAACAUACUCAUUAAACUCAUAUUGAACCUUGAGUGUGAGUUAGCAUGUUGUACAAACUUAGUCUGAGUGUAUAACAUCAACAUAUACCUGGUACCUUCAAUACAGCAAAAAUAAAAGAUGAAUGGCAGGCCUAUAUGCAAAAUGUCAUGCAUAGCAAAUGCAUCUUGGUAUUAAUUUUAUUUAAUUUUGCUUUGCAAUUCUUUGUGCUAACAAUCUCAUACAAUGGUAGUUCCAGGGUUUUGAGGGCCCUAGGGCAAUGAUGUUAGUUUUACAGAAAAUUUUGAACUAUAACUUUCUUAUGCAAAUUAAGAUAACUUUCACAGAGCUAUUUGAAUGAGAAAUUUUUCAGUUUGCAUUAUAAAAUUUUUUGUCUAAAUUAUAGUGAUCUAAUUUAGAAUGUUUAUUUUACUUAUAUCUAGUAAAUAACAAAACUAAAAAUUAUCCUAUGGCAAUGUUUGUCUUAAUAUAUCAUAAGUUUUUGAACUGAAAAUGUUUAAAGAAAUAAUUACAACAUGCUUAAUAUGAUCUAAUUAUGAUAUUAUUUCAACAUUUUCAUUGUAAAGCUUGUAAUCAUUUAGACCAGGGUUUUCAACCUUUCCACAGCUGGGAACCAGCGAAAACAGGAAAACCACCUGAGGCAGAAACAAAAGGCACCAUAAACAUAAUACAGUAUUCUGUGUACUAGUUUCCAAACACAAUACCAAAAAGAGAAAAAAAAAGAUAUUUCUCCAAAACAACCAGAAACUGAGUAACACAAAAUGCCAACAAAAGAACAAAAUACUGAAAUUGGUGUAGCGUAGCUUGCAGCCAACUCCCAUUGAGCCAUCUCUCCUCUCCCUAGCCCUGCUGGAGGCGCCAGCACACCCACUGCGAACAUGAUGCCGACCAAGGGAGAGGUGGUAGAGCACAACCAGCCCCCACAUCAGUCCGCUGUGAGUGGGAUGCAGCCCUCCCAUGGACUGUCAUGAAAUCUUCCACAGAUCAGCACCAGUUCACAGACUGGGGGUUGAAAACCAUUGAUUUAGACACUAGCAUGUAUUUAUCUUACCUUGUUUAAAUAUAAGAAAAAAUAAAAGGAGAUGUACGGAAAACUGGGUUUCACUCUGAAACAUAGAUGUAUUUCAACUUCCUAUAUGAAUCCUCUCAGAUAGAUUAACUAAAAUAAUUUAUUAUUUUGAAAUCACCAAGCUUGCCUAAUAUUGUAUUUGGAAUUGGUAGCCAUUCAUUGUUGCUAUUAAUUAACUUAUGAAAUUGAAAAAAAAAUCUGCCUAAGUAAGUGUCUACAUUCUCAGUGCUCUCCUCUCCUAAUGCACCUGUCUACUGAUACUACUGUACAGCUUUUUUAUGAAUUAAUGCUUUAGAAUAGUAAAUUGUUUAAAAGCAUCAGAAAGUUGAUAUUAACACCGCACAACAAUGGAAAACACAUUUCAGCUUUUCUCCAAAGAUAUAGAUUGCCAUUAUACCAUUUGACUGUAGCAAACAAUAAUUUCUUCAGGAGAUGCUUGACAAAUCAACUAUAGGGUAGGGCUUUGAAAUCUCAAAACAUCAUCUCAUGCUUUACCUGGUCCUGCAAAGCAAAUGGAACCACGAGGAAGUAUGUGACUUCUUGUGGACUCCCGGUUAUGCAACCCACAAGAAACUUUCACUGGCUACCAUUCCAAGUGUCCAGCCUUUUCCUCUGAUCAGUACUGCCACCAACGUGGGUGCAUAGUGAAAAUGGACACAGUGAGCAGGUAAACCAGCUGCCAUUCCUGGUGGCCAACCAUCUUCCUAACACACUGGUGCUGGCUUGAUUGCUGCUGAGCACCACAUGAACUUUGGGUAUUCUCACCAGACUGCGUCUCUGCAAAGUGGGUAGGAGUCUGUGAAGCCAAAACGAAGAAAUCUGGCAGAUUUUCAGCACAAGAUGGAUUCUGUGCACAUCCCUAGUCAGCUAUUCAGGUUAUCUUGCAUUUUAUUGGUAUAUGUGGGCAAGUGGUUAGGGAAUAUAAGUGGUUUGUUAAUUGCUCAGUAAUCCUAUUGUGAUAACAAAUGACCUGAGGUGGGAGGAAUUUUACAUGCAUAACAAAUUGUGGCAUCCCUUGUUAUUGAUCUGUAAACAGAGCAUCUUCUUGAAGAAUGAAUACAUGAACAUGGUCUAAUUUCUAGAUGUCAUUGGAACAUAGAUUGACAACACUGGGUAUCUCCCAGUAUAAAUCAACUCUAAAAUUUUUUGAUUUCCAUAAUGUACAAGAACUUGGAAUUUCAGAAUAAUGUUCUAAAAUUCAUCCUGCAAUUCAUAUGGAUUGUUUUUAAAAGACUAAGAAUAUUGGAAGUGAUGACAAGUAGAGGGUACACAUUUAAAUCCAAGUAAUAUUCAAAUCUACCUUUUUAACCCAGUUAAUUUUCUAAUGACUCGGCUCUUUAAGUCUCUCUUUUUUUAAACUUAGAGUAAAAUUAUAACUUCAUCCUUAGAGUUUUUAUUCUUAAGUAGUGAAAAAUAGGUGACAAAGCUAGAGCAGCUGUCAAAAUCUGUGCAACAAUUCUUGCCGAGUAAAAUGGGCAUAGUAGUAGAAUUUAGGUAAAGUGUUUGUAUUAAGGUUGUUGCAUGUUAUUAAAUCAUACAACACAGUGUGGGCGAGAAAAUAAAAGGUAUAGUAUACAUAUUCAGAUUAAAUUAACAAAUGUCAAAA